UAGGGAAUCUUCGGCAAUGGACGGAAGUCUGACCGAGCAACGCCGCGUGAGUGAAGAAGGUUUUCGGAUCGUAAAGCUCUGUUGUUAGAGAAGAACGUUGGUAGGAGUGGAAAAUCUACCAAGUGACGGUAACUAACCAGAAAGGGACGGCUAACUACGUGCCAGCAGCCGCGGUAAUACGUAGGUCCCGAGCGUUGUCCGGAUUUAUUGGGCGUAAAGCGAGCGCAGGCGGUUCUUUAAGUCUGAAGUUAAAGGCAGUGGCUUAACCAUUGUACGCGGGGGAAACGGGAGGACUUGAGUGCAGAAGGGGAGAGGGGAAUUCCAUGUGGAGCGGUGAAAUGCGUAGAUAUAUGGAGGAACACCGGUGGCGAAAGCGGCUCUCUGGUCUGUAACUGACGCUGAGGCUCGAAAGCGUGGGGAGCAAACAGG
rnacentral:rRNA from 1 species